GACGAACGCUGGCGGCGUGCUUAACACAUGCAAGUCGAACGGUGAUGCUCCAGCUUGCUGGAGUGGAUCAGUGGCGAACGGGUGAGUAACACGUGAGCAACCUGCCCCAGACUCUGGAAUAAGCGCUGGAAACGGCGUCUAAUACUGGAUACGAAACUGGCCCGCAUGGGCAUGGUUUGGAAAGUUUUUCGGUUUGGGAUGGGCUCGCGGCCUAUCAGCUUGUUGGUGAGGUAAUGGCUCACCAAGGCGACGACGGGUAGCCGGCCUGAGAGGGCGACCGGCCACACUGGGACUGAGACACGGCCCAGACUCCUACGGGAGGCAGCAGUGGGGAAUAUUGCACAAUGGGCGAAAGCCUGAUGCAGCGACGCCGCGUGAGGGAUGACGGCCUUCGGGUUGUAAACCUCUUUCAGCAGGGAAGAAGCGAAAGUGACGGUACCUGCAGAAGGAGCACCGGCUAACUACGUG
rnacentral:rRNA from 1 species